rnacentral:rRNA from 1 species
CUUUACUGUAGCUUUGUAUUGAAUUUUGAACAGAUCUGUGUAGGAUAGGUGGGAGGCUUUGAAGCAGGGUCGCUAGAUCUUGUGGAGCCAACGUUGAAAUACCACCCUGGUGUGUUUGAGGUUCUAACCUAGGUCCAUUAUCUGGAUCGGGGACAGUGCAUGGUAGGCAGUUUGACUGGGGCGGUCUCCUCCCAAAGUGUAACGGAGGAGUUCGAAGGUACGCUAGGUACGGUCGGACAUCGUGCUAAUAGUGCAAUGGCAUAAGCGUGCUUAACUGCGAGACUGACAAGUCGAGCAGAUGCGAAAGCAGGACAUAGUGAUCCGGUGGUUCUGUAUGGAAGGGCCAUCGCUCAACGGAUAAAAGUUA